GGACAUGGCUCUGACAGCAACAAUGUAACACCCAUGCAACGAGUCUGCGAGGCCGAAUGGAAGCCAGCUGGCUGCAGGGGAGAGAGCAAGAGAGUCUGGCAGAAGGUGCACCUGGAGAAGGAAGUAGAGGCCAGGCCAGUGUGGAGGGAACUGGGAGGACCUGUCUGACCACAAACAACCCACCUGAGGAGGCCCUGCUGCUCCCGGAGGGUGCUCCUGCCAGAGUUCUCCUAGUUCCUUGCAAGGAGCCCUGGAAAAACAAUCCCACCCUGGGUCUAACAUAGUCUCGGGGACUUUUAAACCAAUGCCCAGCUAGAAAAAACAUCUCAGGCAGUUCGCGGAUAGAAGAGGAAAUAAUAUUAAGAGCCUGCCAUAUGUUGAAUGUUUACUAUGUCUCAGCAGCAUAUAAAUGCUUUAGUUUCUUACAGAA
rnacentral:lncRNA from 1 species